rnacentral:rRNA from 1 species
AACGAACGCUGGCGGCAUGCCUAACACAUGCAAGUCGAACGAGACCUUCGGGUCUAGCGGCGCACGGGUGCGUAACGCGUGGGAACCUGCCCUUAGGUUCGGAAUAACUCCCCGAAAGGGGUGCUAAUACCGGAUAAUGUCUUCGGACCAAAGAUUUAUCGCCUUUGGAUGGGCCCGCGUUGGAUUAGCUAGUUGGUAGGGUAAAAGCCUACCAAGGCGACGAUCCAUAGCUGGUCUGAGAGGAUGAUCAGCCACACUGGGACUGAGACACGGCCCAGACUCCUACGGGAGGCAGCAGUGGGGAAUAUUGGACAAUGGGCGAAAGCCUGAUCCAGCAAUGCCGCGUGAGUGAUGAAGGCCUUAGGGUUGUAAAGCUCUUUUACCCGGGAUGAUAAUGACAGUACCGGGAGAAUAAGCUCCGGCUAACACCGUG